rnacentral:rRNA from 1 species
UGAACGCUGGCGGCGUGCCUAAUACAUGCAAGUCGAGCGAACAGACGAGGAGCUUGCUCCUCUGACGUUAGCGGCGGACGGGUGAGUAACACGUGGAUAACCUACCUAUAAGACUGGGAUAACUUCGGGAAACCGGAGCUAAUACCGGAUAAUAUAUUGAACCGCAUGGUUCAAUAGUGAAAGACGGUUUUGCUGUCACUUAUAGAUGGAUCCGCGCCGCAUUAGCUAGUUGGUAAGGUAACGGCUUACCAAGGCAACGAUGCGUAGCCGACCUGAGAGGGUGAUCGGCCACACUGGAACUGAGACACGGUCCAGACUCCUACGGGAGGCAGCAGUAGGGAAUCUUCCGCAAUGGGCGAAAGCCUGACGGAGCAACGCCGCGUGAGUGAUGAAGGUCUGCGGAUCGUAAAACUCUGUUAUUAGGGAAGAACAAAUGUGUAAGUAACUAUGCACGUCUUGACGGUACCUAAUCAGAAAGCCACGGCUAACUACGU